GAUCCAUUAGUCGAGGGGUUAAGACGCUUGCCUGUCACGCAAGAGAUCACCGGUUCAAAUCCGGUAUGGAUCG
rnacentral:tRNA from 1 species